UUUUUUUUUUUUAAACACAUUUUAAAGAUUUGAAAGAAGGAUCAGAAAACAGUAUCCAACCUUUUAGCAUUGUUACUGAAGGGUCUGCAAUACCAGCACAUAAAAAUAAACCAACAAGAGAAUAGCACAUUCUCCUUCUCAUCGUGGCAAUGGAUUUUCUGUACCUAGAGCUUCAUGCAAAGCAAACACAACAACAACUGGCUCACCUGGACCUGCCCCAUGCUUGGGCUGCAUGAAGUGUGCCUGCACACAGCUGCACCCACUGUAGACUACAAUUGCAUAUCUGCUGUGCAGAGCACAACACUACCGCUGAUCACACUGCCUUAAUGCUGCCAUUCAAAUGGCUGUGAUUUUGUCUUGAGGCACAAAAAUGCUCCUCAUCCUAGAGCUGCUAAUUCUGUGACUUAAACAUGGCCAUAUGAGGGACUCUAAGGUCAUCAUUUAAGUGCCAGUGGGUAAUGACAAUGGAAUAUUUCUCUGAAAAAUCUUGCUGUUCAGAAAGUAUAAGCCCUUCACUGCUUAAAUAAAUGAACAGCAGAACUCCCCACCUGGGUGAAAUUGUAUACUUGCCAAUGCAAAAUUUGUUAUAUUACUGUAAGAGGGUUAAUAUGGCUAACAAAAACCUGUGUUACCAGUCAGCAAUCUUCACAAUUGUAUUCACAAAUGCAUACAAUUAAAUCAGUGAAGACCAUCUUCUCCAAAGCCAGUUAUCACUUCAGAUACACGUGCUGUGUUCCUCAUUUGCCAGUAGCUGCACAGUGCAUGUGGGGGUACUGAAAGCAUCUCCAUGACUGCAGAAACAACAAGUUCCUAAUAAAGACAGACCAAUCUCCAAACUCUUGCAGUUUGAGUAAUGUCCACCUGGUUUUGGGCUGCUGCCGUAGUGGUCAUUCAUCUAGCAAGUGAAAUGAGAUCUUGUUCACUAUCAGAGAAGUUCCACAUAUGAUGAACUAACUUUACAGAAGCUCUCAAGUAUCUCACAUAUUCAUAUCUAUACAUUUCACCUCCUCGUAUUUACCUUGCAUCAGAAGGCAGCUGCAGAUACUAUAGCAGCUGCUGCAUGCAACCCACUUCUCGGGCCUGAUGUAACAAUCCCCUCUGAGGGCAGCCAGCGCCUUCCACGAGUCAGAAAGUGGGAAGAGGUCCUGAACCCUCAGUGACUCUCAGGCUGUAGCCUGUUGAAACAGGAGCUCAGCACCAAGCAGGCACUGUUCAGCCAACAGAGGCAGAACUGGAGUUUGGCCCUGACAAGAAAGAGGCAUAAGCAAAGAAGCUCACUGGAUCUGCUGUAGCAGAGCUUAGAAAAGAUGAUGGCUAACAAUCAUGCAACUGGAUUGAAGGAGGAGAAACAUACUCUCUAACAGAGGGCAUAGUAAUGUGCAGACUGAUUACAGAAGUCAUGAGUUCAGAAACUCUGCAACAACAAAAUGCAACUACAAGAUGCAGCUACACACACAUCUGGGUCACAGCACUGUUAAGGUGUUGGUCUCCUUACAUGUCCACAGUUCUAUCAAUCUUUAGGCAUGUUCAGUAACAUAAUAUACUGUACUGAUCCUUGUGAUCACAGAGGGCCAGUACAAGUCAGGUUCCUAGCCAAGUCAAACCUCUGAACCUAAAACAACAAGUCAUUUCUCUGUGAGAAUGGCAUCUGUGUAAAGGAUAAUGCUCACGAUACAAGUAAGCCCAACACAAGUCUCAACUGGCACUGGCAUGACUGAUCUCAGACUCGAUGGCUUCAGCACAGCGUAUCUGGCUCCACCUGCUCCACUCUUCAAUAUGUACACACCCCACUGUCUCCAGCACACGUUCCAGAAGCAUUACCAGUCCACAAGGCUGGGAGGAUGACUAUAUAUGUGUUUGUUUUUUUUAAAUGCUGAUGACAAAUGGAUGGCUUUGCUGUUGGACAGGCAGUAAAAUCCAGCAGAGAAGUCUGGGAGGGCACAGAGCUGAGACCAGUGGGGAGCGAUGCGCAUGCCCAGGGAGCAGCUCACCUGCUGGGGAGAAGCAAGCAGGCAUCAUUGCAGAAAGCCUCUGGCCAGUUGACCCCUAACUAAUUCUAUGAGUACUGCCCAUGCAUUCCAGAGAGGUGUAAAUUCUCUCCAUAAAGUAUACACGGAUGUGGAAAGCAACAUAGGGUAGAAAACCAGCCCCCACAAGGCAAGCAAGUGUUUAAUUGCUCCAAUUUAUCUGUUAAGUUGCUAUCAUUUCUCUAUAACAACAAAUUCACUCUGAAAAAGAAAGAAAGUAGCUUAAAGCCUAUCAAAAUGCCUAUUUCAAGACAUGAUCAUUCAGUUUUUAAUAUGAAUGCUCAAAACUGUCAGAUGGUAGCUCAAGAACAGAAGAUCAAGAGGACAUCUAAAGCAAACCCAGCUCUGAAACGAAUGUCUGCCCUCCCUUCGUGCUGGUAGUUCAGCCUCCCUCCACAUCCUGUCCUCAGUUACCUACUGUUGGCUGAAGAUAAUCUCUUCCAGGCUUCUCAAACGCUGACACAGGAAACUCCGCGAGCACACCAAACUACUUCCUUUCCUCCUUGAAAAUAUUAAAUAACCUACAACUUUCUUCUGUGCCCUACUUGUAGUCUAUCAUUUUCUUCUUUUUUAUCAAAUCUGCUAAAAUAAAAUUUUAUAGUGUCAAUUCAACAAAGGAAAAACUAUAAAGUUAGUUCUGACAGCUUCCCUUCUCAAAAAUUU
ensembl:lncRNA